rnacentral:tRNA from 1 species
ACGCGGAUAGCUCAGUCGGUAGAGUGUUAGGCUUUUUUAACCUAACGGUCCAGGGUACGAGUUCCUGUUCGCGCG